UCCGAUAACGAACGAGACUCUAGCCUAUUAAAUAAAUGCGUGGUUCUCUGCACCUUGCACCCUUCUUAGAGGGACAAGCGGCUCCUAGCCGCACGAAACAGAGCAAUAACAAGUCUGUGAUGCCCUCAGAUGUCGGGGGCCGCACGCUUGCUACGCUGAGGAAGCAGCGUGUUUUUAUUCCUGUCUGUUAAGAGUGUAAGCUUCGAAAAAAGUGACUUGAGCGAAUACAGAGGGCUAAUUGAAGUUCAUCGGAUUACCCCCAAGCAGG
rnacentral:ncRNA from 1 species